GAUGAUGAGGAAGGAGGAUACGUUGGUUUUUGUGAAAUGAGACAAAGAUCAAGAAAAAGAAAGAGUGGGACAAUGCUGAAGUAAAUGGGCCUAUGGCUGGUAAUACCGUACGACCCCAACUAAUCUCACUGCGGAUGGAGAGAGAGUCUGCCCAGCAUCAUCCCACCAAUGGUUACCCGGAAUUCGAACGUGUGCGGAGGCUCUCGCCCAACUGAGCUACAACCACCCGCUCUAGCCCCGGGGGGCGAUCCCUUCUCUUUUCUGCCAAGUGAAUAUGUACCAUAUUCUGUAUUACAGAUACUACGAAGAAUAAAGUAGCCCGACAAGUAAUUAGAUAUUUUACA